CCCAGACUCCUACGGGAGGCAGCAGUGGGGAAUAUUGCGCAAUGGGCGAAAGCCUGACGCAGCAACGCCGCGUGGAGGAUGAAGGCUCUAGGGUCGUAAACUCCUUUCAGCAGGAAAGAAAAUGACGGUACCUGCAGAAGAAGCUCCGGCCAACUACGUGCCAGCAGCCGCGGUAAUACGUAGGGAGCAAGCGUUGUCCGGAUUUAUUGGGCGUAAAGAGCUCGUAGGCGGCUUAGAUAGUCGGAUGUUAAACCCCUAGGCUUAACCUAGGGCAGCCAUUCGAUACUACUAUGGCUAGAGUUCGGUNGGGGAUUGUGGAAUUCCCGGUGUAGCGGUGAAAUGCGCAGAUAUCGGGAGGAACACCAAUGGCGAAGGCAGCAAUCUGGGCCGAUACUGACGCUGAGGAGCGAAAGCGUGGGGAGCAAACAGGAUUAGAUACCCUGGUAGUCCACGCCCUAAACGUUGGGCACUAGGUGUGGGACCUACUUCGACGGGUUCCGU
rnacentral:rRNA from 1 species